rnacentral:rRNA from 1 species
UACGGAGGAUGCGAGCGUUAUCCGGAUUUAUUGGGUUUAAAGGGUGCGUAGGCGGACUGUCAAGUCAGCGGUAAAAUACGGGGGCUCAACCUCCGCCCGCCGUUGAAACUGACGGUCUUGAGUGGGCGAGAAGUAUGCGGAAUGCGUGGUGUAGCGGUGAAAUGCAUAGAUAUCGAGAGGAACACUCGUGGCGAAGGCGGGUUCCUGGACAUUAACUGACGCUGAGGCACGAAGGCCAGGGGAGCGAAAGGG